CCCUGGGGGAGUAGUCUCAGGCGAGCGCCAGCCCGCCUGGCAUGCGUCAACACACUUGAUCGGCAGAUCAUGGCGCAUGCGACCCGCGCGAUCGUGUCCACCACGUUUCGCCGCCGGUUUGACAAGACCCAUGACAUGAACACCUGGCCCGGGGCGGGCAGGUCGUGCAUGUCAUGGUGUUCAUGUCGACCCG
rnacentral:sRNA from 2 species